UUCAACCAACUCCUGCCACUGGUGGUGGUGACUUCAACCAUCACUUUUCUGUCAUGCAUCUGACAGACUGCAAGCUGUACAAACUCUGCCGUCAUCAUAUCCAAGGCAGUGAGUUGUGAGGACUGCUACACUGAGAACACUGAGUGCAUUCUGGAAUAUUCCAAAUGUGUGCCACUUCCAUACACAAGAAGUUCCAAUCCUGCAAGAGAGUUCACUCACCAGGUAGAGACAGACAGACAUACACACACACACACACACUUUUUUCAUGUGUCUGUUUGUUGUUAUGACUGUAGUGGGCUCCAUCAACAGACCAGGCCAAAGUCGGUCUGUCCUGCUACUACUACAUGCUACUUGACUAUGUCUGGAAGCCAUGGCUGCUGCCCUCAACAUGCUAAACUGAAACCCUCACAAAUAAAGUCACAAAUCAAGAAUUAACAUUGAUGGUGGCAAGGGUGCCUUCAUAAGGUGCCAUCCAGCAAGUCCCAGUCUGGAGCCAGAGGCUGGCACUGCACGUCAGAUGGGGGAGGAUCUAUGUUAGGCAUCAGAAAGGUGGUUUAAGCAAGAAGGCAAGAGCUUCUGCAGACAGUGUUGCAAUUAGACAUCUGAUUUUUACUGCCAAAGGGACCAUCAGAGCACCUCUACCUACCCUGCCGGACAUCUAUACCAGAAGAGUACGGACAAGGGCCCAAAAUGUUUUAAAGGACAUUUCACGCCCAGACCAUGGACUGUUUAAACCACUGAGGUCAAGCAGAAGUCUCUGUUCUCACUUGAGGCAGGUUAUUGAGAGGGGGCGAGUGUCACUGUGUAAGCCCCCUACUGCAGGCGAGAAAGCCAUGUUGAUUUGAAUAUUGAUUGAUAAAUACAAUAAAGGCCAUGUAACAAAUUG